GAUGAACGCUAGCGGCAGGCCUAAUACAUGCAAGUCGAACGGAUAUAUGUUUUUCGGAAUAUAUAUUAGUGGCGCACGGGUGAGUAACACGUACAUAACUUGCCCUCAAGCGGGGGAUAGCCUUGGGAAACUGAGAGUAAUACCCCAUAGAAUUAUUGGACGGCAUCGUUUGAUAAUUAAAACUACGGUGCUUGGGGAUAGAUGUGCGUCUGAUUAGCUAGUUGGUGAGGUAACUGCUCACCAAGGCGACAAUCAGUAGGGGGCGUGAGAGCGUGGCCCCCCACACGGGUACUGAGACACGGACCCGACUCCUACGGGAGGCAGCAGUAAGGAAUAUUGGUCAAUGGAGGGAACUCUGAACCAGCCAUGCCGCGUGAAGGAUGACGGCCCUCUGGGUUGUAAACUUCUUUUGGAUGGGGCGAAAAAACGGGAUUUAUCCUGGACUGACGGUACCAUCAGAAUAAGCACCGGCUAACUCCGUG
rnacentral:rRNA from 1 species